rnacentral:rRNA from 1 species
ACUCCUACGGGAGGCAGCAGUGGGGAAUCUUGCACAAUGGGGGCAACCCUGAUGCAGCGACGCCGCGUGAGCGAUGAAGCCCUUCGGGGUGUAAAGCUCUUUCGGCAGGAACGAUAAUGACGGUACCUGCAGAAGAAGCUGCGGCUAACUACGUGCCAGCAGCCGCGGUAAUACGUAGGCAGCAAGCGUUGUUCGGAGUUACUGGGCGUAAAGAGUGCGUAGGUGGUUUUCUAAGUUCGGUGUGAAAUCUCCCGGCUCAACUGGGAGGGUGCGCCGAAAACUGGAAGACUUGAGUGCGGGAGAGGAGAGCGGAAUUCCUGGUGUAGCGGUGAAAUGCGUAGAUAUCAGGAGGAACACCUGUGGUGCAGACGGCUCUCUGGACCGCCACUGACACUGAGGCACGAAAGCGUGGGGAGCAAACAGGAUUAGAUACCCUGGUAGUCCACGCCCUAAACGAUGCAUACUUGGUGUGGGUCAUUCAGUUGAUCCGUGCCGGAGCUAACGCGUUAAGUAUGCCGCCUGGGGAGUACGGUCGCAAGGCUGAAACUCAAAUGAAUUGACGG